AUAUGUUGCCCUCUGACCUUUACACAUGUGCCAUGGCAUGUAUAUAUAUGCACACGCACAUGUGCAUACACACAUGAUGUAAUAUUAAGAAGAACCGUAGAAAAACUGCAAAAGGGGUUGGAGAGAUGACUCACUCACUGGUUAGGGGCUCUGCUCUUCCUGAGGGCUCAGGUUUGAUUCUGAGCGCAUAAACCAUGGGUCGCAACCAUCAAUCACUCCAGAUCCAAGCCGUCUAGCUCUCUCCUUUGGCCUCUUUGGACACAGGGCAUGUACACAGUGCACAGACAUGUGUGCAGGGGAAACAAGAGUGCAUGCUUCUCUCCCAGAGGACCUGGGUUUGGUUCCAGCACCUACAUGGCAGCUCACAACCACCUGUAUCCCUGGCUUCCUUCCGGAGAGCUGCCACUGUCUUCUGGACUUCUUGGGCACUUGCAUACACGGUACACACAUAACAAAGUAACAAAAAAAUGAAUCUUUGAAAAGUUGCACAAGUGUAACUACGUGUCAAUCUUUUCAUUCAAGUUUUUUUCCAGAACUAUUUUGAUAAAAUCGUUGUUUAUGUUAAUACGGUGCUUAUUUGUUUAAAGGAAUCAGUCCAUAACUUUUUAAAAUUCUGACCUGCCAUUUCUACUAGGAUAGAAUUAACACACAAAAUGGGUUUUAGAGCCCUGAAGAACUUCUACCUGUGUGAGAGGCCCUGAGGCCAGUAUGUUUCAGAAAGACUGAGCAGGUGUGUACACACACCCCACCCCCUAAGAAGGCUGCUGUGCUCUGGUGACCUGGAAGCCAUGCUAUUCUUCAGCGCGCCACAGGAGGGCAGCAGAUCCUGCUGUGAGCCUCUUAGGUCUUCACCCCAGGAGGUCCAUACAGUCUGCUGCCUCUAGCUUCUUCCAGGAUCUGGCUCAGUCCUGGACAAAGUCAUAGUCUAGGUUCUCGCUCUGUGGGGGAUUUAGCUCUGUUUUCACACCCAUCUCCUUGGAGAAAGCAUCAGGAUGUUAUCGAGGCCCAGGCAUGAGCCUGACCACUUUGCUGGGGAUAUUUGGUGAACACACAUUAGUUCCACGGGACACAGCGGCUCAUAGCGCCCCUUUCCAGUCUCAGUUUAACCUGGAAGUAUUGGUUCUUGUGGGAGUGGUCUGGAACCAACCAGUGUUUAACAACACAGUCAUCAAAAGCUGCCUUAGCAUGCUCUCCACCUCUGUGAGUAACUCUGUGUAGCCAAAAGGUGUAUUUGGGAUUGUGGUUUCAGAUGCUUUGGCCCAUGGUUGCUGGCUUUGUUGCUCUGACGCCUGUGACAACACAGUGCAUCAUGGGAGGAAUGGGUAUGGAUAGGAGAACCCAAUUCAACUCAUGGCUGUCAGGAAAUAGAGAGGUAAGGCACCCAUCUGUUCAAGACUUACUUCCAGGGACCUAAUGCCCCUCCUCUAGGAACCGCCUAAAGGGUCCAAUGUCUCCACAGGCUGGAAGCCACACCUUUAACACACAGGUGCAGCGAAGUGGGGAGGGGAGAGGGAGUGCGCCCAUGUUACCCAUGUCUUUACCCUGGCUUGGGCGAACGUUGGGGGCACAGGUGAAAUUUUACCCAUAACCAGGGCUUCAUGUUGGCAUCAUAGCAGGUUACGGGGACUCUAGCAAUGGAAAGCAAGGCUUUGAGGCUACUUAAUGCAGCCCCUUGGCUCCCCUUAGAGACUUCUCCAAACAGCCUUAAAGUAACCUAAUGUGAUCAAAUGUGGGCCAGUAGGAAGUAAAGUCACAAGGUAAGGGUCUAGGUCCCACACUGCCCAUUUUCUGGUCCCUGCUCUUCCUCCAUUACUGUAACCCCAGCCUUGACAUAUUUCUCCCUCCCUGCUAGGUAUUCAAUGUCAGGUUAGUUUCCCCAAUGAUACAUAAAUAUCAGUAGUCCUUGUUACCAUAGGUUUGAUAACUAAGAAAAUCUGGGUUUCGAAGAUCAAGGCAAGGUUUGGUUUGGUCCUGCUUCUACCAUGUGUAAACUUUGGAGGUGCUUAAGUUCUCCAUUUCCUUCACUGCCAGAGGCAAUAAUAAUAAUAAUAUGAAGUUGUGAGGAUCACAUGGCAAAAGGCAGCCUGCUUAGAUUCUGCACAUAGGCAAGAUCAUCUGGUGUUUGUCUUUCUGUGCCUGGCUCACUUAACGCCAUGCCUUCCAGGUUCAGCUAUGUUACAGCAGAUUAAAAGAUCCCCUUAUUAUUAAGGCUACUCUUUAGGGCAUUACAUUGUAUGCAUGUUUUCUUCAUCCAUCCGUUGGGGGAUUCGGGUGAAGCCUGGCCCUAAGGUAACAAAAGAUCAUCAGGUUGUAAACUGCAGCCGUUCCUUUUUUCUUAAACACUUAUUUUGUUUAUUUUAUGUAUAUGAGUGCACUGUAGCUGUCUUUAGACACACACUAGAAGAGAGCAUCGAAUCCCAUUACAGACGGUUGUGAGUCACCAUGUGGUUGCUGGGAAUUGAACUCAGGACCUCUGGAAGAAGAGUCGAUGCUCUUAACCGCUGAGCCAUCUCGCCAGCCCCCUGCAGCCCUUGCUAGCAUUCUGAGUGGAGACAGGCAAAGGUCUCCAUUCUUUGAAGAGAUAAGCCUGCGUGUUUCACUUUCUUGCUUUCCCUAGUGCUGGCUUGUGUGCACAAGGAUCUGUAUCCUCUACAAUGUUUUAAAUGAUUGCUUGGGAUACACUUCUUAAGAAUAUGGACAUUGUUAAAGCUAACCUGGUCUGGAUGACAAACUGGCUCUUAGCGGUUAGUUUCCACCCUUCCGGAUAUUCAAGUCCAUUUGUUUGAUCAUCUCUUUAGCCGGCUACCAUGCUAAUGUCUAGUUCACCUGUGCAUGCCUUUUAGAUUCAGUUCUUGUAGUCUUUUUGACAAGCAAGUUGACAGUGUGGGCCUCUCCAGCCUUCCCACAACAUUUCUGCUUUAACAGUGUUUCCUAAAGAUAAAAAUUAACUUCCUAUGACCCCGCUCAGUACCCUUGGAUACCCAGGUCAGAAGACGGAGACAUUCUGGAACAACAAGAGAGUUGGCACUUCCUGACUUGGUGUGGCUGUGUAAUUGCAUCUCAGCUGGUGAAGCAAUGGCACAUGAGGUGGACACUGCUACCAGGUUUGGCCAUUGAACCCUGUGCCCAUGUCACCCUUGGAAGUCACAAGGUGAAGCCACCAGAGCCUCUGUCAGCUAGAAGAACACUCAUGGCUGUGGCUGUGAUGGGAUUCUUCCCUGAGAAGGCUUUGUUCCAGAAGCUCGUCCCGGAAGCUGGAUGGUGAUGUGGAGAGGCAAUGAGAUCAUUAAGAGACAGAGCCUUGUGGCAAGUAAGUGGGUCACUGAUGGCCCUGUCUUCAGAAAAGAUUAGUACUCAUCUCAAGGGAUACAUCUGUCCUUCCAAGAAUGAGUUGCUAUAAAAGGACCCUGCCUGCUCCUGCAUCCACUGACUUCCUACUUUGCGUUGCAUGUGGGUGUCAUUGUGACGCCACUCACCAUGAGGUCAUCACUGGAGACUCAAUUAAUAGGCCGUUCAGUCUUGACCUCUUAGACUCAAAGACUGAGUUAAUAAACACCCUCCUUUAUGAAAUGUG